GUCUCAUGAUGACAACACUUUUUUUCAGUUCUGCUACUGAAAGCAAUUGAUGACAAACCUUAUACCAAAAACAACCUCUGAAUG
rnacentral:snoRNA from 18 species